AUUGGUGGUUUGCCUAAAUAUGUGUCUGUGUGAGGGUGUCAGGUCUCCCAGAAUUGGAGUUAUAGGCAGUUGUGAGCUGCCAUGGGUUCUGGGAAUUGAACUCAGAACCUCUGUAAGAACUGCCAGUGCUCUUAACUCUUAACCACUGAGCAAUCUUUCCAGCCCUGUUUUAUUUUAUUUUUUUAAUUUUUUUUUUUUUUUGAGGCAGGGUCUUACUAUCUAGCUCUGGUUGUCCUGGAACUCACUAUGUAGACCAGAAUGGCCUUAAACUCACAGAAAAAUGCCUCCCCCUGCCUCCUGAGUGCUGGAAUUAAAGGCAUGUACCUCAUACCUAGCUCAGUGUUUUGUUUUUGUUUUUGUUUUUUUUUUUUGGUUUUUUGGAUACCAGUAAAUAACUGGAAUAUUGUUGGACCAAAUAGAAAAUAAUCUAGCUCUGUAUAGUUUGUGAGAGUCAUAUCUAUGUAUAAGGGAGACAUAAGGAAUCAGAUUGGAAGUAAAGGUGUGGAAAAACCUAUUCUAAAAGAAGUUAGUGAAGCAUAUUAGUGGUACAGAAAAUUCAUUUGAAGGCAAAGUCAUUAUUAGAGUUAAAAAUUGGGCUGGAGAGAUGGAUCAGCGUUUAAGAGCAUUGACUGCUCUUCCAAAGGUCCUGAGUUCAAAUCUCAGCGACCACAUGGUGGCUCACAACCAUCCGUAGUGAGAUCUGAUGCCCUCUUCUGGUGUGUCAGAACACAGCUACAGUGUACUGCAGAUACAGUGUAUUCAGAUUUAUAAUAAAUAAAUCUUUAAAAAAAAGAAUUAUAAUAAAUAAAUCUUUAAAAAAAAAAGAAAAGAAAAAGAAACCUUGCCUAGAGUUAAAAAUAAUUAGGAGAAAUUUAAUAAUUAGGAGUAAUUAAGGUGGCACAUGACUAAUUUCAGCUGCUCAGGAGACUGAGACAGGAAGAUAGCUUGAGCCUAGCCUAGGCCACCCUUGGCAACAAAGCAAGACUCUAUUUAUUUAUUUAUUUAUUUAUUUACGGUCUUUUUGGAUAUAACAUAGUUCUGGCUGACAUGGCCAUAUUCCUGCUUCUGUCUUUUAAGUGCCACCGUGUCUGACUAAGAUGCCAGUCAAGAGUGAAUUCAGGGGAGGAGAUGAGAGAGAAUCUGUAUCUCCAUAUGGAUAAACAAAUAUAUAAUGCAGGAAGAAAUCUGUGAGUAUAAUUGUAGGAGUAGUUUGGUAGUUCCACACAGUGAGAAUUCUGACUGUUUUGAGUAACCUAAAGUCAUAUGGGCAAACAUUUUUUGAGAAAAUAUACUAAAAAUUUGAAUAACCAUCAAGCUCCAUUUGAUAGGCAUGCACAGAGUCUUAAUAGAUGAGGACAUACUUUAAAAAAAAAACUAAAAAUAUUGAAUACAUGCUAAAUUCACAUUAAGUCUAAGCAAUACCACUGAGUAGAUGGAUGUUAAGCAGACUGCCAAUUAUAUUUUGUUAACGCAAUAUAGAUUAAAAUUGAGCAAAAUAAUAACCCAAAGAAUACUAUUUGGAACUUUUAAAGAAACUGGUAGG
rnacentral:lncRNA from 1 species